ensembl:lncRNA
UGUUAACCCAUUUCCCUCACACCUUCCUAACUUAAUCUGCCUUUAAACCCAUUUCCCUCACACCUUCCUAACUUAAUCUGCCUGUUAACCCAUUUCCCUCACACCUUCCUAACUUAAUCUGCCUUUAAACCCAUUUCCCUCACACCUUCCUAACUUAAUCUGCCUUUAAACCCAUUUCCCUCACACCUUCCUAACUUAAUCUGCCUUUAAACCCAUUUCCCUCACACCUUCCUAACUUAAUCUGCCUUUAAACCCAUUUCCCUCACACCUACCUAAGAGGUUGAUUUAAUGUAGCACAACAGUGUAUUGAUGAGUUGAAGAGGUUGAUUUAAUGUAGCACAACAGUGUAUUGAUGAGUUGAAGAGGUGAUUUAAUGUAGCACAACAGUGUAUUGAUGAGUUGAAGAGGUGAUUUAAUGUAGCACAACAGUGUAUUGAUGAGUUGAAGAGGUUGAUUUAAUGUAGCACAACAGUGUAUUGAUGAGUUUGUGUUAUGCCUGUUUAUCAGCAGUAAAUCAUUUGACCACACGCCUUGUGGCUUGAUAUUAUUCUCUUUUAUGUUUAACUUUCUAUAACUAAACUGUUAUGGGACUGUUCUAUUGACUGUAACUCUAAUACUAAUCACAUGUAUUGUAAAGGGAAAUGACAACAUGCUAUGAGUUGCAGCCUUUAGAAUAAUGACAACAUGCAAUGAGUUGCAGUCUUUAGAAUAAUGACAACAUGCAAUGAGUUGCAGUCUUUAGAAUAAUGUAAAACAUGUCCUUGACUCUGUCAAGUUGAUGAACGAAAGUUAGCCUGAAGACAAGAUUACAUUUACAAUAAUCUGAUGAGUGACAAUAUUAGGCCUUUCAGUUGUCAUCUAGUACAUGAAGAGAUGGGAGCAUCUAGUACAUGAAGAGAUGGGAGCAUCUAGUACAUGAAGAGAUGGGAGCAUCUAGAACAUAAAGAGAUGGGAGCAUCUAGUACAUGAAGAGAUGGGAGCAUCUAGUACAUGAAGAGAUGGGAGCAUCUAGUACAUGAAGAGAUGGG